AGCAUCCCUCUCCUAAGCCUCUACCAUAUUGUCUGUUCGAUUCAACUUUAGCUUGGCCUAUUUGUAGAGUAUUCUAUUUCAUGAUCAUGUAGUAUAUCACUUGAGUGAUAUAACUUUACAUACAUUGCUAAAAUUAAAUGAUGGUAGAAAUGAGUUAAUCUUUAUGAAAUGAAUCGAAAAUGGUAACACCAUCUACAAAAUAUGGUGCAUGUCUUGUGUGACAAGACUUGAAGUUAGCGAAUUUUUAAAAGCCAUUUAAUUCGGGGUUCAUUAUGAAUCUGAGGCAUGCUUGUUGCGUUGUUUGCACCUAAUAAAUAGGGGUGGAGAAGAAGGUGGCGAGUACAACUAUUGGGCCAUAUGGCUGGUGAGCCUGGCAUUCCAACCGACGCACCUAGCAAUUCAGCUGGUGCUUGUUCUGAUCUUGACCUCAAGGAGAAACCAGUCAGAGCAGGUUUAAUAAUAUAGUUUAUAGUAGAUUUUAUAAUGUUGACAUGUUACACAUGGUCAACUAAAAACCUACUUAUAUCAUAACUUUCAUGAUAUAAGUUGUACAUUUAAU
rnacentral:lncRNA from 7 species